UACAGAGGUCUCAAGCGUUGUUCGGAUUCAUUGGGCGUAAAGGGUGCGUAGGCGGCGCGGUAAGUCGGGUGUGAAAUCUUGGAGCUUAACUCCGAAACUGCAUUCGAUACUGCCGUGCUUGAGGACUGGAGAGGAGACUGGAAUUUACGGUGUAGCGGUGAAAUGCGCAGAUAUCAGGAAGAACACCAAUGGCGAAGGCAGCUCUCUGGGACGGUACUGACGCUGAGACGCGAAAGCGUGGGGAGCGAACAGG
rnacentral:rRNA from 1 species